rnacentral:misc_RNA from 1 species
AACCAUUCUCACCUGCGGCUAGACCUGCGGAGGGAUCAUUACACAAUACAAUAUGAAGGCUGUCCGCAGCUGGAGUAUUUUAUUACCCUUGUCUUUUGCGCACUUGUUGUUUCCUGGGCGGGUUCGCUCGCCACCAGGACCACCAAAUAAACCUUUUUUAUGCAGUUGCAAUCAGCGUCAGUACAAACAAUGUAAAUCAUUUACAACUUUCAGCAACGGAUCUCAGAUCGGAAGAGCACA